UAAACGACUCUCGGCAACGGAUAUC
rnacentral:ncRNA from 2 species